AGAGUUUGAUCAUGGCUCAGGAUGAACGCUGGCGGCGUGCCUAAGAUAUGCAAGUCGAGCGCCCUACUAAUUUCAGGAAGUAUUUCGUGGGAUUGGUAGGGGAGCGGCGGACGGCUGAGCAACGCGUAGGAAUGUACCUUGUAGUGAGGGAUAAGCCCGGGAAACCGGGUCUAAUACCGCAUAUUCUCUUCGGAGCAAACCUUCGGGGGCUAUAAGAGCGGCCUGCGUACGAUUAGGUUGUUGGUGAGGUAAAGGCUCACCAAGCCGAUGAUCGUUAGCUGGUCUGAGAGGAUGGUCAGCCAGACUGGGACUGAGACACGGCCCAGACCCCUACGGGGGGCAGCAAUUAGGAAUCUUUCGCAAUGAGGGAAACCCUGACGGAGCGACGCCGCGUGCAGGAGGAAGGCCUUCGGGUUGUAAACUGCUUUUGUAUGUGACGAUUAUGACGGUAGCAUGCGAAUAAGGACCUGCUAACUACGUG
rnacentral:rRNA from 1 species